GAUGAAGAACGUAGCGAAAUGCGAUACGUAAUGUGAAUUGCAGAAUUCAGUGAAUCAUCGAAUCUUUGAACGCAUAUUGCGCUCUCUGGUAUUCCGGAGAGCAUGCUUGUUUGAGUAUCAGUAAACACCUCAACUCCCUUUUCUUUUUUGAAAUUGGAGCUGGACUUGAGUGAUCCCAACGCUUUCUUCCAAGAAAGUGGCGGGUUGCUUGAAAUGCAGGUGCAGCUGAACUUUUCUCUCAGCUAUAAGCAUAUCUAUUUAGUCUGCCUAAAAAACAGAUUAUUACCUUUGCUGCAGCUAACAUAAAGGAGACUAGUUCUUGUGCUGACUGAUGCAGGAUUCACAGAGACAGCUUCGGCUGACUUUGUAAACUCGAUCUCAAAUCAAGUAAGACUACCCGCUGAACUUAAGCAUAUCAAUAAGCGGAGGA
rnacentral:misc_RNA from 1 species